rnacentral:misc_RNA from 1 species
GAGUUUCAAACUCAUAACCCAUUGUGAACAUACCAAAGUUGCUUCGGCCUCUGUUUCGGCAGUGGCCGAGGGCCCCAAACCUCUAUUUUAAUCAUGUGUUUCUUCUGAGUAACCAAAAAAUAAAUCAAAACCUUCAACAACGGAUCUCUUGGCUCU